AAUGGAACUAUCGAUUAAAUGCCCACUCUAGCUGGUUGAUUUCCGCAAGAUGUUCCCCUGAAGACACUGAGAUCUGGUGGCAUGUCCUCGGGGAAUCCGGACUCUCUGAUCAGCAUUUGGCUCGGACAUGUGUCUGGGAUGGAAUGUUCGAGGUGGGUGACAAGACACGAAAGGAUUACAUGUGCUUGUGGAGGGAAACGGGGCGUAAAAUAAUGUCUAUGAAGACUAGAUAGAUUGGUAGGGCUUCCUCCAGAGCAGCCAACUACGUAGCGAACCUGAAUGGUAUCGGAUAGUCGGGGGCGUCAGUAUUCAGCUGUCAGAGGUGAAAUUCUUGGAUUUGCUGAAGACUAACUACUGCGAAAGCAUUCGCCAAGGAUGUUUUCAUUAAUCAGGGAAAGAAAGUUAGGGGAUCGAUGACGAUCAGAUACCGUCGUAGUCUUAGCCAUAAACUAUGCCGACUAGGGAUCGGACGGUGUUCUAUGAUGACCCGUUCGGCACCUUGCGAGAAAUCAAAGUUUUUGGGUUCUGGGGGGAGUAUGGUCGCAAGGCUGAAACUUAAAGAAAUUGACGGAAGGUCACCACAAGGCGUGGAGCCUGCGGCUUAAUUUGACUCAACACGGGGAAACUCACCAGGUCCAGACAAAAUAAGGAUUGACAGAUUAAAAGCUCUUUCUUGAUCUUUUGGAUGGUGGUGCAUGGCCGUUCUUAGUUGGUGGAGUGAUUUGUCUGCUUAAUUGCGAUAACGAAUAAGACCUCGGCCCUUAAAUAGCCCGGUCCGCGUUUGCGGGCCGCUGGCUUCUUAGGGGGACUAUCGGCUCAAGCCGAUGGAAGUGUGCGGCAAUAACAGGUCUGUGAUGCCCUUAGAUAUUCUGGGCCGCACGCGCGCUACACUGAUAGGGCCAGCGAAUAUAUCACCUUGGCCGAGAGGUCUCGGUAAUCUUGUUAAACCCUAUCGUGCUGGGGAUAGAGCAUUACAAUUAUUACUCUUCAACGAGGAAUGCCUAGUAGGCACGAGUCAUCAGCUCGUGCCGAUUACGUCCCUGCCCUUUGUGCACACCGCCCGUCGCUACUACCGAUUGAAUGGCUCAGUGAGGCCUUCGGACUGGCUCAGGGGGGUUGGCAACGACCGCCCAGAGCCGGAAAGUUGAUCAAACUUGGUCAUUUAGAGGAAGUAAAAGUCGUAACAAGGUUUCCGUAGGUGAACCUGCGGAAGG
rnacentral:rRNA from 1 species